AAAGCACCUGACCAAGACUGACAACUGGUGAAUGGAAAACUGGAAUAAGCACUUGGAAGAAGAAAACCGACAACUGAGACAACUUGCCUUUGAUUUGCCUGGCGUAAUGGAUAUUUGAAAACCACAAGAGCGCAGCUAAUAGUACUGAAGAAUGAUGGUGGAAGUUCAUCAUGUGUGGGUGUAUCGUGUGCAUCACCUUAUGUCCCGUCUGAAGAGUUGAGCUCAUCUCCUUGUCAAGUGUCGUACUCAAGGCCUAAACAGCUGCUACUUUGGCAAAGUUUCCUGGGACUUCAUAAGCUGUGAUCAGUGACGCUGUUACGA